AGCUCCAAUAGCGUAUAUUAAAGUUGUUGCAGUUAAAAAGCUCGUAGUUGAAUUUCUGGCUGGAAGGGAGCGGUCCUGCAUUUUUGCAGGUACUUGCUCGUCUUCUGCCAUCCUUGGACUUAGUCUCACUGAUAUUAACUUAUCGGUGUGUACGAUGUCCAUCGUUUACUGUGAGCAAAUUAGAGUGUUCAAAGCAGGCUUAUGCCGUUGAAUAUAUUAGCAUGGAAUAAUAAGAUAGGAUCUAGUGACUAUUUUGUUGGUUUGCGUUAUUAGAUAAUGAUUAAGAGGGACAGUUGUGGGUAUUCGUAUUCAGGUGUAAGAGGUGAAAUUCUUAGAUUAUCGGAAGACGAACGACUGCGAAAGCAUUUACCAAGGAUGUUUUCA
rnacentral:rRNA from 1 species